rnacentral:rRNA from 1 species
UGAGCAAUCUGCCCUUCUCAUCGGAAUAAGCGUUGGAAACGACGUCUAAUGCCGAAUACGACCUCCUUUCGCAUGAUCGGAGGUGGAAAGCUCCGGGCGGGGAAGGAUGAGCUCGCGGCCUAUCAGCUAGUUGGUGUGGGUAAUGGCCCACCAAGGCGACGACGGGUAGCCGGCCUGAGAGGGUGACCGGCCACACUGGGACUGAGACACGGCCCAGACCUCCGUACGGGGAGGNAGCG